AUAAGCGCACACGGUGGAUGCCUUGGCGGUCAGAGGCGAUGAAGGACGUGGCAGCCUGCGAAAAGUAUCGGGGAGCUGGCAACAAGCUUUGAUCCGGUAAUGUCCGAAUGGGGAAACCCACCCGCUUGCGGGUAUCCUGCAGUGAAUACAUAGCUGCUGGAAGCGAACCUGGUGAACUGAAAUAUCUAAGUAACCAGAGGAAAAGAAAUCAACCGAGAUUCCGUAAGUAGCGACGAGCGAACGCGGACUAGCCCUUAAGCUGAUUUGGUUCUAGGAAAACGCUCUGGAAAGAGCGGCCAUAGAAGGUGAUAGCCCUGUAUCUGAAAGGGCCAUUUCAGUGAAGACGAGUAGGGCGGGGCACGUGAAACCCUGUCUGAACAUGGGGGGACCAUCCUCCAAGGCUAAAUACUACUGACCGACCGAUAGUGAACCAGUACCGUGAGGGAAAGGCGAAAAGAACCCCGGAGAGGGGAGUGAAAUAGAACCUGAAACCGUGUGCGUACAAGCAGUAGGAGCUCCGCAAGGAGUGACUGCGUACCUUUUGUAUAAUGGGUCAGCGACUUACUGUUCGUGGCAAGCUUAACCGUAUAGGGGAGGCGAAGGGAAACCGAGUCUGAUAAGGGCGCAUAGUCGCGGGCAGUAGACCCGAAACCGGGUGAUCUAGUCAUGCCCAGGGUGAAGGUGCGGUAACACGCACUGGAGGCCCGAACCCACUCCCGUUGCAAAGGUAGGGGAUGAGGUGUGAUUAGGAGUGAAAAGCUAAUCGAACCCGGAGAUAGCUGGUUCUCCUCGAAAGCUAUUUAGGUAGCGCCUCAUAUGUAUCCUCUCGGGGGUAGAGCACUGUUAUGGCUAGGGGGUCAUCGCGACUUACCAAACCAUUGCAAACUCCGAAUACCGAGACGGACUGUAUGGGAGACACACGGCGGGUGCUAACGUCCGUCGUGAAAAGGGAAACAACCCAGACCCACAGCUAAGGUCCCAAAUUUUGUGCUAAGUGGAAAACCAUGUGGAAAGGCACAGACAGCCAGGAGGUUGGCUUAGAAGCAGCCACCCUUUAAAGAAAGCGUAAUAGCUCACUGGUCGAGUCGGUCUGCGGGGAAGAUUUAACGGGGCUAAGCACAGAACCGAAGCUUGGGGUGCAUAACUUUGUUAUGCGCGGUAGAGGAGCGUUCCGUAAGCCGUUGAAGGUGGAUUGAGAAGUCUGCUGGAGGUAUCGGAAGUGCGAAUGCUGACAUGAGUAACGAUAAUGCGGGUGAAAAACCCGCACGCCGAAAGCCCAAGGUUUCCUUGCGCAACGUUAAUCGGCGCAGGGUGAGUCGGCCCCUAAGGCGAGGACGAAAGUCGUAGUCGAUGGGAAGCAGGUUAAUAUUCCUGCACCUCGCGUAAGUGCGAUGGAGGGACGGAGAAGGUUAGGUGUACCAGGCGUUGGUUGUCCUGGGGAAAGGCGGUAGGUUUGGAUCUUUGGCAAAUCCGGGAUCCUUUAAGACCGAGCACCGAGACGAGCCUUUAUGGCAAAGUCACUGAUACCACGCUUCCAGGAAAAGCUCCUAAGCUUCAGCUUACGCAGACCGUACCGUAAACCGACACAGGUGGGUAGGAUGAGAAUUCUCAGGCGCUUGAGAGAACUCGGGUGAAGGAACUAGGCAACAUGGCACCGUAACUUCGGGAGAAGGUGCACCCUUUUUGGUGGCUCGUGCGAGCUAUAGCUGAAGAGGGUCGCAGUAACCAGGCCGCUGCGACUGUUUAUCAAAAACACAGCACUCUGCAAACACGAAAGUGGACGUAUAGGGUGUGACGCCUGCCCGGUGCUGGAAGGUUAAUUGAUGGGGUCAGCCGCAAGGCGAAGCUCUUGAUCGAAGCCCCAGUAAACGGCGGCCGUAACUAUAACGGUCCUAAGGUAGCGAAAUUCCUUGUCGGGUAAGUUCCGACCUGCACGAAUGGCGUAACGACAGCGGCGCUGUCUCCACCCGAGACUCAGUGAAAUUGAAAUCGCUGUGAAGAUGCAGCGUUCCCGUGGCAAGACGGAGAGACCCCGUGAACCUUUACUAUAGCUUUACACUGAACGUUGAGUUCGUCUGUGUAGGAUAGGUGGGAGGCUAUGAAACCAUGGCGCUAGCUGUGGUGGAGCCAUCCUUGAAAUACCACCCUGUCGUGCUUGACGUUCUAACCUGGGCCCAUUAUCUGGGUCGGGGACCGUGUAUGGUGGGUAGUUUGACUGGGGCGGUCUCCUCCUAAAGAGUAACGGAGGAGCUCGAAGGUACGCUCAGCGCGGUCGGACAUCGCGCACUGUGUGCAAAGGCAUAAGCGUGCUUGACUGCAAGAUCGACGGAUCAAGCAGGUAGGAAACUAGGACUUAGUGAUCCGGUGGUUCUGUAUGGAAGGGCCAUCGCUCAACGGAUAAAAGGUACUCCGGGGAUAACAGGCUGAUACCGCCCAAGAGUUCAUAUCGACGGCGGUGUUUGGCACCUCGAUGUCGGCUCAUCACAUCCUGGGGCUGUAGUCGGUCCCAAGGGUAUGGCUGUUCGCCAUUUAAAGUGGUACGCGAGCUGGGUUCAGAACGUCGUGAGACAGUUCGGUCCCUAUCUGCCAUGGGCGUUGGAGAUUUGAGAGGGGCUGCUCCUAGUACGAGAGGACCGGAGUGGACGAACCUCUGGUGUUCCGGUUGUCACGCCAGUGGCAUUGCCGGGUAGCUAUGUUCGGAAGCGAUAACCGCUGAAAGCAUCUAAGCGGGAAGCGCGCCUCAAGAUGAGAUCUCCCGGGGCACAAGUCCCCUGAAGGAACCAUGUAGACUACGUGGUUGAUAGGUCAGGUGUGUAAGUACAGCAAUGUAUUGAGCUAACUGAUACUAAUGAUCCGUGCGGCUUGACC
rnacentral:rRNA from 1 species